CUUGCUUUUUUGAGACCGGCGCACGGGUGAGUAACGCGUAUGCAACCUACCUUAUACAGGGGAAUAGCCCGAAGAAAUUCGGAUUAAUGCUCCAUGGUUUAUCGAUAUGGCAUCGUAUUGAUAAUAAAGAUUUAUCGGUAUAAGAUGGGCAUGCGUAUCAUUAGCUAGUUGGUGUGGUAACGGCAUACCAAGGCAACGAUGAUUAGGGGUCCUGAGAGGGAGAUCCCCCACACUGGUACUGAGACACGGACCAGACUCCUACGGGAGGCAGCAGUGAGGAAUAUUGGUCAAUGGAGGCAACUCUGAACCAGCCAUGCCGCGUGCAGGAUGACGGUCCUAUGGAUUGUAAACUGCUUUUGUACAGGAAGAAACCUCCCUACGAGUAGGGACUUGACGGUACUGUAAGAAUAAGGAUCGGCUAACUCCGUGCCAGCAGCCGCGGUAAUACGGAGGAUCCGAGCGUUAUCCGGAAUUAUUGGGUUUAAAGGGUUCGUAGGCGGCUUUGUAAGUCAGUGGUGAAAUUUCCUAGCUUAACUAGGACACUGCCAUUGAUACUGCAGAGCUUGAAUAGUAUGGAAGUAACUAGAAUAUGUAGUGUAGCGGUGAAAUGCUUAGAUAUUACAUGGAAUACCAAUUGCGAAGGCAGGUUACUACGUAUUUAUUGACGCUGAUGAACGAAAGCGUGGGGAGCGAACAGGAUUAGAUACCCUGGUAGUCCACGCCGUAAACGAUGGAUACUAGCUGUUCGGUUUUCGGACUGAGUGGCUAAGCGAAAGUGAUAAGUAUCCCACCUGGGGAGUACGUUCGCAAGAAUGAAACUCAAAGGAAUUGACGGGGGCCCGCACAAGCGGUGGAGCAUGUGGUUUAAUUCGAUGAUACGCGAGGAACCUUACCAGGGCUUAAAUGUAGAUUGACAGAUUUGGAAACAGAUUUUUCUUCGGACAAUUUACAAGGUGCUGCAUGGUUGUCGUCAGCUCGUGCCGUGAGGUGUCAGGUUAAGUCCUAUAACGAGCGCAACCCCUAUUGUUAGUUACCAGCGCGUAGUGGCGGGGACUCUAGCAAGACUGCCGGUGCAAACCGUGAGGAAGGUGGGGAUGACGUCAAAUCAUCACGGCCCUUACGUCCUGGGCUACACACGUGCUACAAUGGCAAGUACAGAAAGCAGCUACCUGGCAACAGGAUGCGAAUCUCCAAAGCUUGUCUCAGUUCGGAUUGGAGUCUGCAACUCGACUCUAUGAAGCUGGAAUCGCUAGUAAUCGGAUAUCAGCCAUGAUCCGGUGAAUACGUUCCCGGGCCUUGUACACAC
rnacentral:rRNA from 1 species